rnacentral:rRNA from 3 species
UGGGGAAUAUUGCACAAUGGAGGGAACUCUGAUGCAGCGACGCCGCGUGAACGAAGAAGGCUUUCGAGUCGUAAAGUUCUUUUAUAUGGGAAGAUAAUGACGGUACCAUAAGAAAAAGCCCCGGCUAACUACGUGCCAGCAGCCGCGGUAAUACGUAGGGGGCUAGCGUUGUCCGGAAUCACUGGGCGUAAAGGGUUCGCAGGCGGAAAUGCAAGUCAGGUGUAAAAGGCAGUAGCUUAACUACUGUAAGCAUUUGAAACUGCAUAUCUUGAGAAGAGUAGAGGUAAGUGGAAUUUUAGUGUAGCGGUGAAAUGCGUAGAUAUUAAAAAGAAUACCGGUGGCGAAGGCGACUUACUGGGCUCAUUCUGACGCUGAGGAACGAAAGCGUGGGUAGCAAACAGG